rnacentral:tRNA from 1 species
UCUUAGGUGGCUCAGCUGGUAAAGAAUCUGCCUGCAAUGCAGGAGACCUGGGUUCGAUCCCUGGGUUGGGAA